rnacentral:tRNA from 1 species
GGUCUCAUAGUGAAGUUCAUGUUGAGUUGCAAGCUCAUUGAUGUGCAUUAAAUUUGCACUGAGGCCU